CGACCCCAGGUCAGGGGGGCUACCCACUAAGUUUAGUCAUAUCAAUAAGCGAAGGAGAAGAACUUACGAGGAUUCCCUUAGUAACGAUGAGCGAACCGGGAAGAGCCCUUCUUGAGAAUUGGGUGGCUUUGUCGUUCGAUUUGUAGUCUGUAGAAGCAUCCUCAACGAUGGACUAGGCCCAAGUCCCUUAGAAGGGUGCACCAGAGAGGGUGAGAGCCCUGUCAUGACCAAAUCCUAUCGCACCACGAGGCACUGUCGACGAGUCAGGUUGUUUGCGAAUGCAGCCCCAAUUGGGUGGUAAAUUCUGUCCAAGGCUAAAUACGGGCGAGAGACCAAUAGAGAAUAAGUACCACAAGGGAAAGAUGAAAAGGACUUUGAAAAGAGAGACAAAGAGUGCUUAAAAUUAUCGGGAGAGAAGUGGAUGGGCAGGCGAUGCAUCUCAGUCGGAUGCAAAAAGUUGAAUAGCCGGUCCACCGCUCGACUUGGGGCGUGGACCGAUGUGGAUUAUGGUAGCAUCCCAGCCCAGGUUGUCGUGUUAUACCUGAGGAGAUGUCAUCGUCGUGAUCAUGGUAGGAAGCAUGCACCUCGAUGGCGUGCCUAUUGGUAAUGGCAUGCUCUAGGCAUCGGCUUGUCAGGCUCCCCGUUUGACCCAUCUUGAAACACGGACCAAGGAGUAUGACAGGUGUGAGUCAAUGGGUGAGUAAAACUCAUAAGACAUAAGGAAAUAGACAAGUGGUAUCCCCUUGUGGGUUGCACCACCGACCGACCUUGAUCUUCUAUGAAGGUUUCGAGUGAAAGCAUACCUGUCGGGACCCAAAAGAUGGUGAACUAUGCAUGAGCGAGGCAAAGCCAGAGGAAACUCUAAUGGAGGCCCAUAGCGAUAUUGAUGUGAAAAUUAUUCGUUUGAAUUCGGUAUAGGGGUGAAAGACUAAUCGAGCUGUCUAGUAGCUGGUUCCCUCCAAAGUUUCUCUUAGGAUAGUUGGAGCCCUCAGGCGAGUUCUAUCGGAUAAUGCCAAUGAUUAAAGGCAUCGGGGGUGCAACGCCCUCGACCUAUUCUCAAACUUUAAAUAGGUAGGACGGCAUGGCUGCUUUGUUGAGGCUCUAUGGAAUCGAGGGCUCCAAGGGGGCUAUUUUUUGUAAGCAGAACUGGCAAUGCGGGAUGAACCGAAAGUCGGGUUACGGUGCCAAAUUGUGUGCUAACCUAGAACCCAUAAAGGGUGUUGGUCGAUUAAGACAGUAGGACGGUAGUCAUGGAAGUCAAAAUCCUCUAAGGAGUGUGUAACAACUCACCUGCUGAAUCAACUAGCCCCAAAAAUGGAUGGCACUAAAGUGCAAAACCUAUACCCAGCCGUCGAGGCAACUGCUUGGCCCUAAUGAGUAGGAGGGCAUGACAAUCACUGUAAAACCUGGGGCAUAAGCCCAGGCGGAGCGGCCGUCGGUGUAAAUCUUGGUGGUAGUAGAAAAUAUUCAAAUGAGAACUUUGAAGGCCAAAGAGGGGAAAGGUUCCAUGUGAAUGACACUUGCAUAUGGGUUAGUCGAUCCUAAGGGACGGGGGAAUCCCGUCAGAGAGUGUGUAUACCCGUGUGCUCUGAAAGGGAAUCAGGUUAAAAUUCCCAAAGUAGGACGUGGCGGUUGAUGACAACAUUAGGAAAUCUAGAGACAUCGGUGGGGGCCUCGGGAAGAGUUAUCUUUUUUGUUUAACAGCCUACCCACCCUGAAAACAGCUCAGUCAGAGGUAGGGUCUAGCGGCUGGAAGAGCAAUGCACAUCGUGUGGUGUCCAGUGCAUGCCCGGCGGCCCUUGAAAAUCCAGAGGACUGAGUGCUGACCAUGCCCAGUCGUACUCAUAACGACAUCAGGUCUCCAAGGUGAACAACCUCUGGUCAAUGGAGUAAUGUAGGUAAGGGAAGUCGGUAAAAUGGAUCCGUAACCUCAGAAAAGGAUUGGCUCUGAGGGCUGGACACGGGGGUUCCAGUCCCUAACCUAUCGACUGUCGAUGGACUACUCGAGCUGGUUUCACGAUGAGAGUGGGUCGCCACGUGCUCAUCGGGGGAUGGACUGAGAACGGCCCCCUCAAGGGCCUUCCCCGGGCAUCAAAUAGCCGACUCAGAACUGGUACAGACAAGGGGAAUCUGAAUAUUUAAUUAAAACAAAGCAUUGCAAUGGUUGCUGUGGAUGCUCAUGCAAUGUGAUUUCUGCCCAGUGCUCUAAAUGUCAAAGUGAAUAAAUUCAACCAAGCACAGGUAAACGGCAGGAGUAUGUAUGACUCUCUUAAGGUAGCCAAAUGCCUCAUCAUCUCCACAUGAAUGGAUUAACGAGAUUCCCACUGUCCCUGUCUACUAUCAAGAGAAACCAUAGCCAAGGGAACGAGCUUGGCAGAAUCAGCGAGGAAAGAAGACCUUAUUGAGCUUGACUCUAGUUCGACUUUGUGAAAUGACUUGAGAGGUGUAGGAUAAGUGGGAGCUAGAAAUGGCGCAAGUUAAAUACCACUACUUCUAACGUUAUUUUACUUACUCCGUGAGUCGGAGGUGGGGCUCUACCCCUCCUUUUGGACCCAAGGCCUGCCUCGACAGGGCGAUCUGGGUGGAGGACAUUGUCAGGUGGGGAGUUUUGCUAGGGCGGCACAUCUAUGAAAAGAUAACGCAAGUGUCCUAAGAUGAGCUCAACGAGAACAAAAAUCCCAUGUGGAACAAAAGCGAAAAAGCUCGUUUGAUUCUGAUUUCCAGUACGAAUACGAACCAUGAAAGCAUGGGCUAUUGAUCCUUUAGACCUUUGAAAUUUGAAGCUAGAGGUGUCAAAAAAAGUUACCAUAGGGAUAACUGGCUUAUGGCAUCCAAGCGUUCAUAGCGACGUUGCUUUUUAAUCCUUCGAUGUCGGCUCUUCCUAUCACUGCGAAGUAGAAUUCGCCAAGUGUUGGAUUGUUCACCCACUAAUAGGGAAUGUGGGCUGGGUUUAGACCAUCAUGAGAUAGGUUAGUUUUACCUAACGGAUGAUAGUGUCACGAUAGUAAUUCAACCUAGUACAAAUGGAACCAUUGAUUCACACAAUUGGUCAUCGCCUUUGGUUGAAAAGCCAGUGGCGUGAAGCUGCCAUGUGCCAGAUUAUGACUGAACCCCUCUAAGUCAGAAUCCCGACUAAAGAAGCGAUGCCUGUGCCUGUCCCCCAUUUGCCAACCCGCAAUAGGGGCCCUCUGGCCCCCAGAGGCACGUGUUGUUGGCCAAGCCCCUGCAGUGGACGUGCUAUGUGGGCUACCUUGAAGCAUAAUUCUUGUCGAGCGAGCGAUGGGUAGAAUCCUUUACAGAUGACUUAAAUAUGCGAUGGGGUAUUGUAAGUGGCAGAGUGGCCUUGCUGCCACGAUCCACUGAGAUUCAGCCCCAUAUCGCAUUGAUUCGU